AAUCAACGCUGGCGGCGUGCCUCAGACAUGCAAGUCGAACGAUUAAAGCUCUCUUCGGAGAGUGCAUAAAGUGGCGCAUGGGUGAGUAACACGUAAGUAAUCUACCUUCGAGUGGGGAAUAACGUCCGGAACGGACGCUAAUACCGCAUAACGCAGCGGCAUCGCAAGAUGACAGUUGUUAAAGAUUUAUCGCUUGAAGAGGAGCUUGCGGCAGAUAGCUAGUUGGUAAGGUAAUGGCUUACCAAGGCUACGAUCUGUAACCGGUCUAAGAGGACGGUCGGUCACACUGACACUGAAUAACGGGUCAGACUCCUACGGGAGGGCAGCAGUCGGGAAGUUUUGGG
rnacentral:rRNA from 1 species